rnacentral:rRNA from 1 species
CUACGGGUGGCUGCAGGCGAGAAAACUUUGCAAUGUGCGAAAGCACGACAAGGUUAAUCCGAGUGGUUUGUGCUAAACGAACCUUCUGACAGUCCUAGAAACACUGUUGAAUAAGGGGUGGGCAAGUUCUGGUGUCAGCCGCCGCGGUAAAACCAGCACCUCAAGUGGUCAGGAUGAUUAUUGGGCCUAAAGCAUCCGUAGCCGGCUCUGUAAGUUUUCGGUUAAAUCUGUACGCUCAACGUACAGGCUGCCGGGAAUACUGCAGCGCUAGGGAGUGGGAGAGGUAGACGGUACUCGGUAGGAAGGGGUAAAAUCCUUUGAUCUAUUGAUGACCACCUGUGGCGAAGGCGGUCUACCAGAACACGUCCGACGGUGAGGGAUGAAAGCUGGGGGAGCAAACCGGAUUAGAUACCCCAGUAGUC